CAUACACCAAGUGAUUGUUGCUUGAAUAUAUAUCCCCAAAUAAAGAAGUUAAGAGGUUGAAGUAGAGUAUAUUACACACAGAAGAAUCUCAACAAAUAUUUAAUUUGUUGAAUGAAAAAGCAAAACUGUCUUACCUCAUACUUUCAAGGAGGCUUAAGUGAAAAUGAUUCAGCAUGACCAUAGGUGCCACUCGCCCAGCUUUCAGACUGAGAUUGGCAUCAAACACAGCAGCCACACCAGCACACAGGCAACUAUAGCAACGAGAGGCAGCAAAGGAGCCCAAGGCUGAUGAGUUGUUUUACAGGAGUAUGACUUCACAGAGAACAGCCAUGAGAUCUUACUAGCCUGAACCUAUAGAAGCCAAGAGACUCCAAGGGAGCGGCACCAGAACUAGGGAAAUAAACAAGUCAAGAGAUACUUUGAAAAUCUCUACAAAAAAUGUGCAAGAGAGUGCACGCACUUUCUGGAGAAGGGGAGAGAAAGGAAAAGCAUCUUUCAUGGUGCAGGAAGCUGAGUUCCCUGCUGGGUGAGAAAGCACAGAGUGCCUUUUCAGCUUUCAGGUCAUCAGGAAGCCAAUACCUCAGCCAGCUCCAAGGUGUCCAUACUGCCACGGCUCUUGAACCAGACAACCU